rnacentral:rRNA from 1 species
GAUGAACGCUGGCGGCGUGCCUAAUACAUGCAAGUCGAGCGAACGGACGAGAAGCUUGCUUCUCUGAUGUUAGCGGCGGACGGGUGAGUAACACGUGGAUAACCUACCUAUAAGACUGGGAUAACUUCGGGAAACCGGAGCUAAUACCGGAUGAUAUUUUGAACCGCGUCGUUCAAAAGUGAAAGACGGUCUUGCUGUCACUUAUAGAUGGAUCCGCGCUGCAUUAGCUAGUUGGUAAGGUAACGGCUUACCAAGGCAACGAUGCAUAGCCGACCUGAGAGGGUGAUCGGCCACACUGGAACUGAGACACGGUCCAGACUCCUACGGGAGGCAGCAGUAGGGAAUCUUCCGCAAUGGGCGAAAGCCUGACGGAGCAACGCCGCGUGAGUGAUGAAGGUCUUCGGAUCGUAAAACUCUGUUAUUAGGGAAGAACAUAUGUGUAAGUAACUGUGCACAUCUUGACGGUACCUAAUCAGAAAGCCACGGCUAACUACGUG